rnacentral:piRNA from 1 species
UGAUUUUCUUUCUCCCUCUUUAGAAGCCA